CUACAGAGGGUGCGAGCGUUAAUCGGAAUUACUGGGCGUAAAGCGCGCGUAGGCGGCUUGGUCAGUCGGAUGUGAAAGCCCCGGGCUCAACCUGGGAAUGGCAUUCGAUACUGCCAGGCUAGAGUAUGGGAGAGGGAAGUGGAAUUUCCAGUGUAGCGGUGAAAUGCGUAGAUAUCGGAAGGAACACCAGUGGCGAAGGCGACUUCCUGGCCCAAUACUGACGCUGAGGUGCGAAAGCGUGGGGAGCGAACAGGAUUAGAAACCCUAGUAGUCC
rnacentral:rRNA from 1 species